GAAAAAGUCCUUGAAGGGAUCCGUAAGAUGAGAUCUGCAGAAGAUGCACCUGUAGACUCCAUGGGUUGUGAGAAAGCUGGGAGUUCACUUCCUGCCAAGGAAAGAAGAUUUGCAGUCCUUGUAUCAUCACUCUUAUCAAGCCAGACCAAAGAUCAAGUUAAUCAUGGAGCUGUCCAGCGUCUCCUUCAAAAUGGCUUGCUUGCUGCAGAUGCCAUUGACUCAG
rnacentral:misc_RNA from 1 species